GACGAACGCUGGCGGUGGGCCUAACACAUGCAAGUCGAACGGAAAGGCCCUACUAGCUUGGGGUUCUCGAGUGGCAAUCGGGUGAGUAACACGUAUGUAACGUGCUCUUGUUUUUCGUAUAAGUUCAGGAAACUGGGGUUAAUAUCGGAUAGGAUCUCCUGUUGCAUUGAGGGGGUUGGAACGUUUCGGCGGUUGGGGAUGGACUCGCGGCUUAUCAGCUUGUUGGUGGGGUAGUGGCUUACCAAGGCUUUGACGGGUAGCCGGCCUGAGAGGGUGACCGGCCACAUUGGGACUGAGAUACGGCCCAGACUCCUACGGGAGGCAGCAGUGGGGAAUAUUGCACAAUGGGCGGAAGCCUGAUGCAGCAACGCCGCGUGCGGGAUGACGGCCUUCGGGUUGUAAACCGCUUUCGCCUGUGACGAAGCGUGAGUGACGGUAAUGGGUAAAGAAGCACCGGCUAACUACGUG
rnacentral:rRNA from 1 species